rnacentral:rRNA from 1 species
UACGGAGGAUCCAAGCGUUAUCCGGAUUUAUUGGGUUUAAAGGGUGCGUAGGCGGAAUGAUAAGUCAGUGGUGAAAGCCUGCAGCUUAACUGUAGAAUUGCCGUUGAUACUGUUGUUCAUGAGUAUAUUUGAUGUGGGCGGAAUGUGUCAUGUAGCGGUGAAAUGCUUAGAUAUGACACAGAACACCGAUUGCGAAGGCAGCUCACAAAACUACAACUGACGCUGAGGCACGAAAGCGUGGGGAUCAAACAGG